rnacentral:lncRNA from 1 species
GCAAAGUUGCUCAUGAGAAGGGUCCUGCAUUAUGUGUAAUGGUCAGAUUUGCAUUCCCUUACUGUUGUUUUUCACUGGCUGGUGGCUUACCAGGAAGAGUGUGGCCUUGGCUCAGGAGCUGAGACAAAUCCUGAAGAUGUUGGCUGUUGGAGGCCAUCAGAUAACCAUUUUAUGUUUUUAUUUUUUUGAGAUGGAUUUUCGCUCUUGUUGUCCAGGCUGGAGUGCAAUGGCGUGAUCUCGGCUCAUUGCAACCUCCACCUCCCAGGUUCAAGCGAUUCUCUUGCCUCAGCCUCCCUAGUAGCUGGGAUUACAGGCACCCACCGCCAUGCCCAGCUAGUUUUUUGUAUUUUUAGUAGAGACAGGGUUUUACUCUGUUGGCCAGGCUGGUCUCGAACUCCUGACCUCAGGUGAUCCACCCGCCUCAGCCUCCCAAAAUGUUGGCAUUACAGGUGUGAGCCACCGCGCCCGGCUCAGCUAACCAUUUUCUUACAGCAAUUCUCAGAGGAAGAUCUGAGAAGCAUUCCCACAGUUGUCACAGGCUCUCCCCACAUCCCCCUGAAUUUCACCCCUCUUCUCUUCCUCAGGGUUCCCCUACUAAACUCCUGGGACCAUCUACCCUCCCUCAGCAAGCGUCAUGGUCCAGGUUCUCCCUUGUCUCUGACACGUUUCUGAGUGGCACAGACACCUCAUCCCAGGACAGAUGCUGGACACCGAAUAUGGGCCACUGCCGCUGUUGCCACCCAUCAGGAUAUCUCUUCAUCACUGCUGGCUGGAAAAGCACUUCCCCACUCUGUCUUUUUGCCCUCUUUUCACAUGGACACCUCUCUUGAGUGCAUCUAGCUUUUUAAGCCCAAGGCUAGGAAAGCAGGCUUUGCAGAGUUUAGAGCAUAUUCUACCCAACUGGCCCCAGAUGGAAAAUACUCUUUUGAAAUUGGAUGGCUUUUUAAGUGUAGCUCUCCACAGCCUGCUCAAGGAAAAAAAAAUGACCCUGGAAACAGACGGGGGAUUCUUAUAA